UUCCUGGUGGCUCAGAUGGUAAAGCAUCUGUCUACAAUGCAGGAGACCCAGGUUUGAUCCCUGGGUUGGGAA
rnacentral:tRNA from 1 species